UUACGAGAACAAUUCUACAGCAUCUUCUGUGCUCUUCAUGGAAAGACAAGAAGGGGUGUGAUCAAACGUGACCAAUCCGCUCAGAAAACACUCUUUGCCUUGACUGAUUCCCCUGUAAUCACAAUUUCCCACUGAUUACAUCUUAAUUAAAUGAUUAUAUCUGGCACUUCCCAUCCUACUACUUGGUUCUGGCUCCCUUCCUCUUUUGGAGGGAGGGACUGACCCCUGAACACCAUCCCAACAUACAGUCAAUUAGAUUAAUCCUCCCUGCUCAGAGAAACAAGGCAGCAAGCAAUUGGAUGACACGUUUAAUCUUGAAAGCAACAUGAGGCAGUGAAAAGAUCGCUUGCUGCUUUGGUGUCUCUGGGUGGAUCCAAACUGCCAAUCUUUUGGUUAGCAGCUGAGCACUGAACCAUUUGCACCACGAGGGACAGCUAAAUUAAGUAGUCAGCCUUAGCAAAUUCACUUUCCUUGCCUCAAUGUACAUUUGGAAAAGGCGUCUUUAAAGCUGUAGUCAACUUGGGUUUCACCUUUGACACGAGCUCGGAGUUCAUUUCACUCUGAAGCUCAAGGAACACUGUACUUUUCUUCCUCCAUUCCAAGAAGGUGAAGAGACGUUUCAAGGCCUUUAGAACUCGACAGAGGCUCUGAGGCACCUUAUGAAGAGAUGUCAUCUGCUUUUGUCUCAAGUAAUCAAGAUUCAUGAUCAUCCUUCCCUCUCUAUUGUUUGGGUUCAUCAUUUUUAGGGGCAAGAUCUCUGCCUUGGAAGUCAAGAGUCCUGACUUGUAGCCCUGACUCGAAAAUGCUGAAGUAAAUAUUAAAGGACAAUGGAAUAUUAUUCAGCCAUCAAAAGGAGUGAAGCACUGAUACAGACCACAGCAUGGAUUAACUUGAAAACAUUAUGCUAAGUGAAAGAAGCCAGACACAAAAAGCCUCAUAUUGUGUGACGUCAUUUGUGUGAAAUGCCCCUGGUAGACAAAUCCAGAG